rnacentral:tRNA from 1 species
GGUUCCAUAGUUCAACGGAUAGAAUAGUGGUUUCCUAAACCAUAGAUCCGAGUUCGAUUCUCGGUGGGACUA